UGAAUUCGUCGAAGCAUACUUUGGCCAGCAUGAUGGAGCUGCAGGAGGCUUUGCUUGAGAGUAAUCAGGCUACAAAGGAUGCCAAUGAAAUUCCUUCUGCCUCAAAUGGAGACAAUGACGAGUGGUCAGAAGUACAGAGAUUGCAGACAAGGUAAAUUUUGCAAUAGAAAUAACUAACCAA